rnacentral:rRNA from 1 species
UACAGAGGUCCCAAGCGUUGUUCGGAUUCACUGGGCGUAAAGGGUGCGUAGGUGGUGAGGUAAGUCAGAUGUGAAAUCUCCGGGCUCAACCCGGAAAUGGCAUUGGAAACUACCUUGCUGGAGGGUUUGAGGGGGGAUUGGAAUACUUGGUGUAGCAGUGAAAUGCGUAGAUAUCAAGUGGAACACCAGUGGCGAAGGCGAAUCCCUGGAAAACACCUGACACUGAGGCGCGAAAGCUAGGGGAGCAAACAGG